AACACAUGAUUUAGGCAUUUUCUCGACAUCAUUUUAAAUCUCUCUCAUGUCUCAUGGAAGGCUUCAUCUUCUCCUUGUCUGAACAUAGAAAUCCCAUACUUUGCU
rnacentral:snoRNA from 1 species